GUAGGUGAACCUGCGGAAGGAUCAAUAUCGAAAAUAACAAUAUUGUUUUCGCGUGCUGCUUUUCGACGCACAAAGAAAACUUUAUUCACCCCUUUGUGAACUGUGAUAACUCCGAGCGAAAGGUUUGACUCGGAUUUUCUGCGUGAAUUUGGCACACUUUUUGUCCCAUCUUCGCCAGUUAAUAUGAAAAGUUUUACCUUUCUGCGCGGCAACCUGUUUAUUUUCACUUUUAAUCAGUGUGUAAACCCCUUAAUAUCUCACUUUUUAGUAUUCGCCAGCAAUUUUAUUGCUGAAGUAUACUAUAAAUUCCAUGAAAACUUUUAGCAACGGAUCUCUUGGCUCUC
rnacentral:misc_RNA from 1 species